GGGGGAGCCCGCGCCGCCAAACUUUCCGCAGACUUGCAGCGAACUCCGGCCCCGGCCGCGCACCGGGCCCCGGGGGAGGAGAGGGAGGCUGCUGGCCCCGGCCAGGAUCCUGAAUGGCUUUUUAGCACGCUCCAAGUUCUACAUUUGGGAGCUACCAGAUGACAAACCUGACUGGCUGAAAGCUGGACUGGCCUUGGGUACCUCCAUCUUCUUGUGGAUCUAUCUCAUCAAACAUAAUGAAGAUGUUUUAGAAUAUAAAAGAAGAAAUGGGUUGGAAUAAACUUUUGAAAUACUAAUA